UACAGAGGGUGCGAGCGUUAAUCGGAAUUACUGGGCGUAAAGCGUGCGUAGACGGUUAUUUAAGUCGGGUGUGAAAGCCCCGGGCUCAACCUGGGAAUUGCAUUCGAGACUGAAUAGCUAGGGUACGGUAGAGGGAAGCGGAAUUUCCGGUGUAGCGGUGAAAUGCGUAGAUAUCGGAAGGAACAUCAGUGGCGAAAGCGGCUUCCUGGACCAGUACCGACGUUCAGGCACGAAAGCGUGGGGAGCAAACAUG
rnacentral:rRNA from 1 species